rnacentral:rRNA from 1 species
AGCAGCCGCGGUAAUUCCAGCUCCAAUAGCGUAUAUUAAAGUUGUUGCAGUUAAAAAGCUCGUAGUUGAAUUUCGGGAUCAAUAUUUCGGUCAUGCCGUUGGUAUGCACUGUUAUCAUUGAUUUCUCACCUUCUAAAGAACCGUAAUGCCAUUAAUUUGGUGUUACGGGGGAAAUUAGGACUGUUACCUUGAAAAAAAUUAGAGUGUUUAAAAGCAGGCUCACGCUUGAAUACAUUAGCAUGGAAUAAUGAAAUAGGACAUCCGAUUCUAUUUUGUUGGUUUCUAGGAUCGAUGUAAUGAUUAAUAGGGAUAGUUGGGGGCAUUAGUAUUCAAUUGUCAGAGGUGAAAUUCUUGGAUUUAUUGAAGACUAACUACUGCGAAAGCAUUUGCCAAGGAUGUUUUCAUUAAUCAAGAACGAAAGUUAGGGGAUCGAAGACGAUCAGAUACCGUCGUAGUCUUAACCAUAAACUAUGCCGACUAGGGAUCGGAUGAUGUUAAUUUUUUAAUGACUCAUUCGGCG